rnacentral:misc_RNA from 1 species
GCGCGCGAGAGAGAGAGAGAGAGAAUGAGGGAAUAGAGAAGUUAUAGGAGACUAUAGUUUUCUUUCUUGUUUGGAAGAGGGAAUUGUGAAAGGCAAGAAUUACAAUUAUAUCCUAUAAUCCCUAGAAGACUAAAAACAUUUGUUCAUUUGAACAUACACAAAAUUUCUAAGCCUGCAACUAAGGGGGCAUGAAAACAAUAUGCCUCUACCUGUACGAUAUCAAUUGGGUGAAAAAGAAACAC